AUCAAUCUACUUAUUUUCUGUUGGUGUGCUGCUGUUCGAAUUCUUACACUUAGGUGUUCUUCAUGCAGGGAGUUUGAAAAGAUUAGUGAGAGGAUGUCUGAUCCUUUGGUUGAGGCAAUGCGGGUGAUUGUAGAAAUAAAUAGAGUCAGGGACCUGUUGCAUUCACUCCUUUGUGUAAGUACUAUGUAGAGGUUCCAAAACUUUUCGCACAGCUUUUGAUUUGCGACUGGCCGAUUGCACUUUCUUUGCUAAAUUACAAUUUUUAGACUCACUUUUAGGUACUCAAGUAUAAUUUUCCUCUUUCAUCAUAUAAUUGCAUUUUUCUUAAAUGAAAAGUAUAGUUUCAUAAUAUAUGUGUGUGUUGCUUCUAAUUCUUACAUAUUGUUUGAUGGUAGAAAAAUUAUAAAUUGUACGGUACCCUGUCAUUUGGUCCUGUUUUACCAUUGAAAAAAAUUGUAAACUGUAUGUUUGUACCUUAACUUUUGUUUAUUUGGUCAAUUUCAUGUUAUAUUUCCUGUAAAUUGUCAUGUCAAUUUGUAUAUUUGGUCAAUUUGCAUUAUGUGGGAAGGUAGGUAGGGAGGGAAGAGGAGAGAUGAUUAUUGCAGUGAUAGUAUGACUAUCCUAUGCUUUUGGCAUCAUUAGAUUUACAUUAGUUUGGUCCAUUUAUAAGAUGUAGCAGAACAACUUGUGUUACCUAUAUAUCAAUCAUACUGUCAUUGCUAGACUUAAUUAUAGUUCACAUGAGUUGAUUUUAUAAUGGUCAUAUGUGUAUAAUUUUAGUGUGUGGAUGCUACGAUUUAUGGAGUUUAAUACUUAGGCCCUGUUUAGUUCUCAAAAAAUUUCCUACAGUACCCGUCACAUCGAAUUUUUGGACAUAUGCAUGGAGCAUUAAAUGCAGUUGAAUAAAAUAACUAAUUAUAUAGUCUAACUGAUUAGCACGAGAUGAAUCUUUUAAGCCUAAUUAGUCCAUGAUUGGACAUUAUUUGUCAAGUAACAACGAAAUGUGCUACAGUAUCAAAAUCCAAACUUUUUCGCGAACUAAACACAGCCUUAAUCUGAUGCAAAGAUUUUUAGAAGCAUAAUCUUUCAUUCUUGUGUUUAUGGAGGAUCUAUCAUCUACUUUCAUUUGUAAACUCACUAAGGUGUCAUAAGUUAUCACUAUCUAUUUUGCAUUUCUGAUUUUUUAUUUGUCAAUAUGAUCUUAUUUGUUGGUGCAGUAGCAAACAAAUUUUGUGACAUUAUGCUUAUCAUUUUUAGAAAGUAGAUACAAUGUUGACAUAUCCAUGUAAUUUAGUAGCUACUUGUUGUCCUUGCUUUUGUUGGAAUAUCUAUUGCAUAUCUAUGCGGUCAUGGUCAGCUAAUUUACUCUGGAAGUUUUUAAUAGUCUAGGAAGGAGUACAUUUCAAGGUUGGUUAAAUCAUUUAUACAAUUAACUAUACAAUAACAUUAGCAUUUAUGUAAUUUGUAAAUAAGAUUGUUCUAAUUUCUUUUAGCUAGACAGAAAUAGUUAUUGCUUGAAUUUUGUAUGCUGCUAAUUCCAUAUUUUUUCAUCUACUAAAUAUAGGUUCUUCACUGAGAUAAAAUCAUAAGUUUGUCGUUUUAAAUAUUAUUUAAAUAUUUUUAAAAUAAAUUAGCUUCUAGCUGAUACAUCACCGUGUGCCAAAUUUGCUAAUAUCAUUGAUGUUAUCAACUUUACUUUCAUCUUUGAGAUAUGUCUGUUCCCAUGUUCAACCAUAGUUGGACUAUUUUUGGUUUCUAAACUUUGUCUUUCAUAUUGUUAACUUAUAUGCUACUUUAUUUCAGGGUCACUGAGGAACAUAAUUUUGUGUCUAAAGCUUUUUUCAUGGAGAUACGUGGGGACCUGCUUCACUUGCUAUUUUUUGAUCCAUUUCAUCGAGUUGUUUUGAUUUUUCAGUGCGUCUUUGUUUACUGAUAGCUGCGUCUAAUGGAUUUAUUUCUAUUCUAUUAAAAUAUGCUACUUCCCAAUAUCCUCUACAAUUAAUUCUUUUUGCUUUUUUUCCCCACAUGUUACCUGGUAUGUGUUUGUUGUGGGUGUUGGACAACAAAUGUAGGAAAAAAAACAAUAAACACAGCUUUUUUGCA